UUCCUCUGCCGCCCCGCAGGGCUGCUUGGACAGCUGUGGCUUGCCGGCACGAAGGCCACGAAGCUGCAGAUCAACCAGUGAGUAUGUGUUCUGUCCUCUUCCCAACUUCCUGCACAGCCUGAGCUCCAGACGCGAUGCACAGCAGAGUGGCGCAGGCCGGGGUCUCUCAGUGUUAAUUCUGAGCGCGGCUCCCAGAGGCCAAAGACAGGCGAGGCAGGAGCGCUGCUGCUAUUGAAGGAUGGAGGCAUGGAAUAUGAACUGAAGUCCAGAGUGUCCCCCGGAAGUCUCUAUAUGGCAAAACCCCAGCUGGCCAUCAGGAGCAGGAAAAGCAAGGCAGCACGAUCAGGAAAGGGGUCAGGAAUGACUCUGAAAGGCUGGGCCUUGGGACAGCAGGAAGGGCUUCAUGCUGAGAGCACCGGCUUGGACCAUCAGAGUAAGAGAUGGGGCAGUGUCUAAGGAAUCUCAGUGGACUCAGCCAGGAAAGCUGCGAAGAAGUCUCAGUUAAACCUUAUGAGGAGCAAGAAAAAAGUGGUUUGAUUAUAGUCUCCUUAAGGAACCUGUGAAGCUUCCCCACAGC